rnacentral:rRNA from 1 species
GACGAACGCUGGCGGCGUGCUUAACACAUGCAAGUCGAACGGAGAAUUUAUUUCGGUAAAUUCUUAGUGGCGAACGGGUGAGUAACGCGUGGGCAACCUGCCCUUCAGAUGGGGACAACAUCCCGAAAGGGGUGCUAAUACCGAAUACGAUCACGCUGCCGCAUGGCGGUGUGAUGAAAGAUGGCCUCUAUUUAUAAGCUAUCGCUGAAGGAUGGGCCUGCGUCUGAUUAGCUAGUUGGUGGGGUAACGGCCUACCAAGGCGAUGAUCAGUAGCCGGUCUGAGAGGAUGAACGGCCACAUUGGGACUGAGACACGGCCCAAACUCCUACGGGAGGCAGCAGUGGGGAAUAUUCCGCAAUGGACGAAAGUCUGACGGAGCAACGCCGCGUGAGUGAUGAAGGUUUUCGGACUGUAAAACUCUGUUGUUUAGGACGAAAGUGCCUGUUGCAAAUAGUUGCAGGUAUUGACGGUACUGAACGAGGAAGCCACGGCUAACU